rnacentral:lncRNA from 1 species
UCUGGGUACAAGUAUGCAAAUUAGCUGGACUAAUAAAAAGUCGACGCUGGAGGGAGCUUCAGUCAAUGUGGUGUCGCCGUCUUGUGUCUUGGUCGUUGUCUGGUGUUGUGGUUCGUCCUGCUUGGAAGACUGUUGUGCACGUCGUGGUUUUUGUCAUCAUCUCAUCUUUUUUGUUUUACUUAAUUCCUACAUUGUGUUUUUCUUACAAGUUUGAUAAGUUGUUUAAGUUAACAUAUUUAUUUCUUUAUAUAAUUAAUAUUGUUUAUUCUAAUAAAAGUUAGUUAAGAUGACUGAUGGUUGGUGAAGUUUCCGAACUGUAAAAAAUUGGCCGGUAGAACACGAACUGAAGGUCACGCUAACGUUUAGCUUUGACAAGAAGGGUCAAGCAGGGGGUCCGAACCUCGACACGAUGUGGGUCAACACCCAAUCAUGACAAAUUAAAUGCACGUUUUUAAAAUUAUGUCAGGUUUCAAAAUUUACAUAAAUUAUAAAUAUGAUAAAUCAUAUAAAAAAUAUAAAUAUUAAUAUAAUUAAGUAUAUACAGUAUGAAUAAAUAACAUCUACUUUUAGAAAAAUC